rnacentral:tRNA from 1 species
GGGGGUAUAGCUCAGUUGGGAGAGCGCUUGCUUCGCAUGCAAGAGGUCAGGGGUUCAAAUCCCCUUAUCUCCACCA